CUAAAUGUAGAGCUUUAGCAAUGCUUCCUUUUGUAGUAGUAAGACAUCUUCCAAAAUAUUCUUACAUAGCACUGUUACUACUAUGUGCUUAAGGAAAAGCAUUGGCUAAGCUUUUCGUCUCAUAGCAACGUGAUUGUUUCAAGCUCUUCAUACAAUUGUUCCAUGUUUUAUCACAAUUAAGGUGUGUUUAGAUGAUUGUCAAGAGAAUCAGUUCAGGUAUACUCAACUUUCAUAAAUGACGCUAUUCAUAUAAAUACUAGGGAUGUCUAUAUUCUUGAUUCCCUAUGUGAAUUAUAAUUAUAUCUUUUAUUCACGGGUGUCAGAAAAAUACAUAUUUGAUAAAGUGUAUCUGAAAAGCAUAUUGAGUUUUAUGGCAUUACGAGAAAAUCUUAUUAGCAUAUCUUAUGCAUUUCAUGCAUUUAUACAUGUACAUUGAUCCAUGACCAGAUGACUCUAUAUAUACAUAUUUUGUAUAUAUAUAUAUGGGAUAUGGGAAAAGGUUACAAUAUUAUAUAUAUGAACCACCACCUGAUCAUCUGGUAUACGUUGAUGAUUUUACCCAAAGUGGCCGAGAUGAUAUAAUGGAUGCCCUCAGAGGCAUGAUGAUAUUAUGAAUCCACGUACUUAUGCAUGACAUGAUAUUUAUAUGCAUAUGCAUAACACUGUAAAUAUUUCAUGUUUACAGAGUUGUCCAUACUUAUAGGUUGAUUCAUGUACUCUAUAUUUCUUCCCUGUCUUUUAUGCACUUAUUUAUGUGCCUUACAUACUAGGUACAUUAUUCGUACUGACGUCCUUUUUUCCCGGGGAUGCCGCAUUUCAUACCGCAGGUCCCGAAACACAGGUGGAGAGCCCUAUAAGUAGGCUAUCAACUCAGCGGAAGAUGUUUGUGUGCUUCAUUUGCUUUAGAGUUGCUUGUUUGGUUAGUAUGAUUUAGACGUUUAUUUCUUGGUAUGGUGGGACUCUAUCCCGACCUUUAUGAAAAUUAUGUAUUCUUAGAGGUUUGUAGAAAGAUGUCAUGAAUGUAAAAGAUUGUAUGGCUUUCUUGGCCUAUGUUAAGUGUACGAGUUCUUAUUUUGAUCUUAUAGGCUGUAUGUCUUAUGUAUAAAUUGAUAUUACGUGUUGUAUUAUAAUUAAUUCACAGCAGUCUUACUGCUCAGUUAUCUAUGAUAUUAUGACAUGAAAAGAUACGUUA
rnacentral:lncRNA from 1 species